AACGAACGCUGGCGGCACGCUUAACACAUGCAAGUCGAACGGAGGUACUUGUACCUCAGUGGCAAACGGGUGAGUAACACGUGGGAAUCUACCUUUCGGUGGGGGAUAACUGGGGGAAACUUCAGCUAAUACCGCAUGCGCUCAGAAAUGAGGAAAGAUUUAUCGCCGAGAGAGGAGCCCGCGUCAGAUUAGGUAGUUGGUGGGGUAAUGGCCUACCAAGCCUGCGAUCUGUAGCUGGUCUGAGAGGAUGAUCAGCCACACUGGGAUUGAGAGACGGCCCAGACUCCUACGGGAGGCAGCAGUGGGGAAUAUUGGACAAUGGGGGAAACCCUGAUCCAGCGAUGCCGCGUGAGUGAAGAAGGCCUUCGGGUUGUAAAGCUCUUUCACCCGUGAAGAUAAUGACGGUAGCGGGAGAAGAAGCCCCGGCUAACUCUGCGCCAGCCGCCGCAGUAAGAC
rnacentral:rRNA from 1 species